AACGAACGCUGGCGGCAGGCCUAACACAUGCAAGUCGAGCGAACCCUUCGGGGUUAGCGGCGGACGGGUUAGUAACGCGUGGGAAUAUACCCUUUGGUACGGAAUAGCCUCGGGAAACUGAGAGUAAUACCGUAUGUGCCCUUCGGGGAAAGAUUUAUCGCCAAAGGAUUAGCCCGCGUUGGAUUAGAUAGUUGGUGGGGUAAUGGCCUACCAAGUCUACGAUCCAUAGCUGGUUUGAGAGGAUGAUCAGCAACACUGGGACUGAGACACGGCCCAGACUCCUACGGGAGGCAGCAGUGGGGAAUCUUAGACAAUGGGCGCAAGCCUGAUCUAGCCAUGCCGCGUGGACGAUGAAGGCCUUAGGGUUGUAAAGCUCUUUCAGGGGGGAAGAUAAUGACUGUACCCCCAGAAGAAGCCCCGGCUAACUCCGUG
rnacentral:rRNA from 1 species